AUAGCAGCGAUUACAUCAAUUCCUAAGGAUAUCUGAAGAAGGAAGGAAUUUUUAUUCCGAAAUAUCAUAUCAGACUCUGGAUGAUUAAAUUACAACAGCUAUGGUAGUCCAUUGUCUGUAUUAUAGUGCAUUGUUAUACCAUUCAAAACAUUAUAUAUAUAUAUAAAAUGGCGGUGCUCCAGCAUGGCCACAGUCAUUGAACUGAAACAUAUAAGAGAAUAAGAUAAUAUAUAUAUAUAUGGGAGGGGAGGUGUACCCUCGCGCGCGUGUGUGCACACGGGCAUCGAUCCCGGUCAGCCUUGCUAUCCGAAUAGAAUAUGCGGAUGUCCAAUAAGACCGGAACAGGGCAAUUAGCUUCAAAGACCAGGUACAACCCAAUCUGUAUAUUGUUAAAAGAUUGCUAACAACCGAGCUCAUUGUCUACUAGUUGCACGGAUAAUAGUCUCAGUCGACUGGAGAUUUUAGUUUACAUAUAUAAGAUUUCGGGGUUGAUAGAUUAAGUACCAGUUACGCACUGGGGUCGAUAUAAUCGACUUAAUCCUUUGUCCCCUCUAUGUUUAGCCCCUUGUGGGUAGUAAAGAAAUAUAUAUAAGAUUAUACAACAUGAUCCAGUCUUAUUAUGUCUUUUAAAGACAGCAGUAUGCGGUCUGAAGGAAUUUAGCUGUUAUUUCUAGCAGGUCAAAUGAUCCUGCAGUGGCGCCUAUGUGAAUGGAAUUUUUGAAGAGAGGAAGCAGAGAGAAAGGAAAGAAGCAGAUUGUUAGUUGUAACCAUGUGACGUCAUCAAAGAAGCGGAGUAAUUGCGAACGAGAAUCUCAUUGACGUCUCGUUUCACUGAACUUUGUCAGUAGUCGGUGCGCGCAAGCAAUUAGUGUUUCUUCAUUCACUCAUUAUUUCGUCUGUCAAUAAUUGAAUUCUACUUCGAAAAUGUCUAGUCAAGUCCAGUCUCUGCAGAAACAACUCUCCCAGUUACGCCAGGAAGCUAGUAUCUCUAGAAUUCCUGUGUCGCAAGCUAUAGAGGAGUAAGUGAUGAUUUCUUCAAUAUUAAUUAGUUUUUCUUUUCCUUUUCACUUAAUUAAUUAACUGCUUUUUGUUAGUUCUUUGUUUUAGAUUGUUUUUUUUUUUGACGAAUUAUUGAUUACUAGAAUCUGCUACUGUUAUGAUUUUUUAAUUAUAACCAUCUUCUGCCUAUUCCGUAUCCUUUAUAGUCGCGCACAUCAUUCUCUUCCAUUUCAAUUUGUCGGCAUAGAUGCACACCUACCAGUUAAUCAGUUUAGCCCCAGGUCUGCGGAAAUCGAGCAGAUUCAUCAUCCAAGGCUUUCCAUCCCUAAUCUCUUCGACUCUUUUCCUUUUUCCAAUGCACCCCGAGCCAAAUUUUUUAAUCUGAUCUUUUCUCAGGUGAUGGAGUAUAACUUGAAAGAGAUUUCACUGUUAUUUUUAGCAAAUCUAACGGCCAUGUAGAAGCUCUCGCUGACUCACUACUAUAGAAACCAACAAGGGAGCCUUUACGUGAUAGCUCGAUUUGCUAGAAAUAGCAGCCACACCUCCCUCACACUCCUUAGUGUCUUUAAAAAUAGGAAAGUCACUGAACAGUGCUGGAGAUGGUCACGUUUGGAAUACCGCUUUGAUCAUAAUUCUACUCUAUCGGGUUUGAUCUAAGAAAGGUGGGGUCAAACAGCAGCAGUAUUUAAAUUAUGUAUGUUUAUUAUUUGAUCUAAUUCCAGUUGGAUACUAAUAUCGAUUGAUGAGUUAGUUACCUUGGUAGUGUAUCAGUCAUCUUAACGAAUUGUUGCUAUUCUUCAUCAUUGAUUAUCUUAUUACGACAGAAAUGGAAAAUGAACAAGUGUUGCUUUAUGGCUGACAUCUUGGUAGUAAUAGCAGUCAGUAGAGAUGGUGCUGCCCGUGUUGAUGAUGAUGGUAGUAGUUUCGCCCCAGUUCAGCUCCGAGGAGACUUAGAAGCAAAGGCGUUGUAACCAUGGCCAUCUCGUCUUUUUUAGAGCUAUCUAGGAUCGUACCACUCUGAUGGGUUCGUUUUAUAAAACGAUAGCGUGGCUACCGCGCCGAGGUUUCUUGUAUAAAGACAAUUAUCUUGUAUAAAGAUAAUUAAUGGUAGAUUCCAACUAGAGCAAUAAGACGGGGUUUGUCUUGAGAAGAGAUAUAUUAGCUUUUCUGUUGGCAUUAAUUCAAUUUCGUAAGGUGAAGUGUGAAGCUGAACUCGAGUCCUUCAUUGCAGCACAUGAAACGUAUAAAUAAUUAGAAUAUUAUUGAUAAAUCUUUAAAAUAACCAGUUUUGCAGUGAAGAAUGCACUCUUGGUAUAUAUUAAAUAUAUUCUUAGUCUGUUUAUGUGUCGAGUGAGAUUUCUGUCGAAGAUUAGCUUUCCAGGUUUAAUUAGCUAUUUUAAACUACAUAUAACUACAAGGGACGGUCUCUAUGUAGGUGCUCGAACUGCUAGAAAUAGCAGCUGAACCUUCCUUCAAACCAUACCAUAGUCUUAAAAAAAUCGGAGUUCUAUCAUGGAAAAGAAUGGAUUAGUCGGGGUUUUAAGUGUUUAAUCUUAAGGAUACUCAAACAUAGCUGAUCUGAGCCUAAUCACGAACAGCGGUGGAGUUUAUGUAGUCACUCACAAUAGCAGUCAAAUCUCCUCUAAACCACAUGUUAUCACUUAAAAAUGAAGGAGAGAAAAAAACCUGAACAAUAUAGAAAAAUGAUAUUCUGGAUUCACUCUGUAAGAACGACGAGGUUGUGGCUGCAAUGGCUUUAAACGAUAAGUUUACUCUAUCAGGUACUUAGUAGUUAAACGGCAGCAGUUGAUAAAUACUACUUUUAAAGGAAUGAAUUUUGAAACUCAGCCGAAAUAUUUUCGAGGGUUAGUCAUACGAAGCUACGAACGAAAGUAACCAUCCACCUCAAUGUAGCAGCAGUAAUUAACACAUUUAAUGCUUUUAGGAAAUAGAAAGUAUUCUUUCUUUCUUUUUUUUUUGUUUUAAGAAGCUUAUAAAAGAUUAAUUAGUUAAACUUCUUUCUGUAAUUAUUAUGACUUCGCUGAUUGAAGGGAAGAAUGUCGAAGAUAUUAAUUACAUAUGCGGAUGGAACAUGGUAAGAAUGCUUGAAUGAGAGCGUAGGGCGGGAGGAAGUAAAAUAUUAUUCAACUGAUCAUUUCGGAAACCUAUUUUGGUGGUACUUUCCUGACUAUAUAUCUAACUACAAAACUUUCCGAAUGUAAAAAGUUGCAUAUAUAUAUAUAGUUUUCUGUAUAUAUAUAUAUAUUAAAAGUUUCAGCUAGAACCAUAGCUUCUUAUUAACUUAUUUUCUUUGAAGGUUCAGGUUUGAUACAAUAUAGCAGCAAUCAAGUUACUGGCAAUUUAACCAACUACUCUCCUCCAAAUUGCUGGCCUUGUGCCUAAUUUAGAAAUUAUUAGGGUGAUAGAUUGGCAGAAUUGUUGGUGUUGGACAAAAUACUACUUUGUGGUACUUGUUCCAGCUUUUUAGUUCGAGUUCAAAUCCCGCCGAGGCUAACUACCUUUCCUCCUUUUAGGGUUGAUAAGCGAAGUACCAACCAAACAAUCGACUAUUCCCUUAUAGUGCUGGUCUUGUACUUAAUCUAGAAACAACUAUUAUUUACCAUAUCAGCUAAUUAAAAACUCUUCAUAUCAUAUAAUAAUUUUAAUCAUUUACCAAUUAAAUCAUUUUCGUUAAUAGUCUUGAGAAAUUCGUGAAUGAUGCUGAAUUUCAUUUCUCUUUGCUCGAAAGGUUUUGUAUCUAAUGACAAAUGUUCAUUCUGUAUAAACAAUGUUGAAGAAAUACUGUUUUUUUUAUUAUUAUUUACGUUAGUAGUCAGUUGUAUAUUAUGGUGAUUCAUUGAGGCAAGACUUCGCAUUUUCUGUUUUUGCUUAAGUCUGAAUGUAAUUGAUGUACACCACAUGGGUCGUAUUGAAACGUGACCAUACGAUAGCAUAUCACUUGAUCAGUGCUUGCUUUUAUGAACUAGUCUAAAUCAAAAUUAUUAUUAAAUAUCAAAUAUAACUGAAUAUCAUCGAUAGAGGAAGAUUUAAACAAAGUGUGUAAGAUGAUGAAGUUACUGAGGCAACAAGCUAUUAAAAGAUUAUAGCUGAAAACUUAAAGGAAUCAAUAAUAUUAAAUAAAUAGUAUAUAUUUAAAUAUUAGGCAAGUUCUUUUAAAACAAGAAUGAGCAUUAAAAGAGAUAGAUUUAAAUUUGAGCCACUGAAGUCUCGUCGUUAAUUUUAUUUCGAUAUUUAUGGCCUUUUAUUUUCUAAACCCAUCAUAUCUCGCUAUCCAUCCAGUGUCGAUGAAACAAGUACCUGUUAAUUAUUGAGAGGAGUCCACAUAAUUGGUCGUUCCUCUCCCCACAAUUCUUGACCUUAUUAUUUUCCAUUUGAAAAAUUAGGGUUAUCCUAUUUUCGUCAGUGCAUGAUUACUUAGAUGGGAAUUCUCUGUUAACAAAUAUUUGCCACCGGAUAAAGAGGCGGUUUGUUUCGUAAAAUGUUGGCGCAUAUUACUAUUAAAAUUCGAGAAACUAUUCGGUUACCAUCACUUCAUCUCUUCAUUUCUUCCUUCCUGUCGACUAUGUGUGUGUGUGUGUUUUCUAAGUUAUAAAAAUCGGCAAAAAUGCGGCUUCGCUCUGUUUAUCAAUUAAUUCUUUGUUCCCAUUAAGGCAGCUGGCCUGGCCCCCACCUCCGUCUCUCUCUCUCUCUGAGUGUAGCUGUUUGUCCCACCACAUCAACCUGUGUUGAACUAUGUGAAGUGGCAGCUGACUUAGUUCUAAACUAUUCAAACAUCGUCAACAGACAAAUAUUUCUCUGUUUUCUGUAAUAUAAGUCUCAGUUUAUAUUUAUUUAUGGUGAGUGUUAUUAAAAAAAAAACAAAUCCCUACUCAUAUACACACUUCUAAACGUGCAAACUUUCGAGAACCCGUAAAUGUUUAUAGUGAGGGGGGAAAUAGCUCUUUAUUCUUGUUUCAGUCAUUGGACUGCAGCCAUGCUGGGACAUCACCUCAGUUUUAAGUCUGGCACCUCUUCUAUCGAUUAUUUUGCCGAACUGCUAACCAAAGACACCACCGGUUGAGACACACACACACACGACGGGCGGUCCUUAUUAAAUUUUUGGCAGCCCUUUGAAGUUUUUCAGAUUUUCACCAGAUUAUUUUGGGGGCAAAAUUAUAUAAGAGCUAUAUUUUUUGAAAAUAAUCUGUUGAUUAUUUUCAAGUGGUUGGAAGAAAUUUAACAAGAAUGUGACAAACUUCCACCACAAUUUUCUGCUACCAAAUUUAAACUCAGGGAAUUGGUUGACCUGAGGAUAUAGUUGGAAAAACUUGCACAGUGGGACGGAAUCUAAAACCCACAAGAGUAUGAAUUGAACUUCUUAACCACACGUCCAUGACAAAAUUAUGUGAAAUAUUUUUGCUUACUUUGUCUUCGUAGGAACCUGACAAAAUUCUUGUUUACCUUAAGACCUUUCUUAAAAGUAACUUGUCCUUUUAAAAAUUGUUUCUAAGUGCAUUGUUUGUUUACUUCUAAUUAACGAGUUAAACCAAAAUCUAGCUUUUUUUUUUACAGUUUAGGCACAUUCUUAAGACAUAAACUUAUACUCUGUAGAAAUCAAGCAGUUGAACUAACUUGGUGUUUGUAUGUAUCAUCAUCAUCAUCAUCAUUGUUGUAAUAUUUACUUUUCUAGGCUAGUAUGGGUCAGACGAGAGUAUAUUAAGGCAGUUUUUCUAUGGCCAGAUGCCCUUCCUCUUGCAAAUCUCCACUUAUUUUCAACUGAGGUAAUAAUCUCGCAGUCUAUUGAACAGUCUGGACAUACAUGUAUGCAUGCAUGAGUGUGGGUUUGUGUCUCCUUGGUUAGAAAUCUUGUGAUGGUUGUAAACAAGCAUCACUGUUAUAUAAGCAGUGUUCCUCAUUUUCAGUCUGUGAAAACAUGUCAGGCCAAGGGAAAAUAUUACCUUAGUUGAAAACAGGUGAGCUUUAGCAACAGAAAGGGUAUCCAGAUGUAGAAGAUCCAAUUUAGUGAGUUCCGUUUUAUGUUCCCUUGAUAAAGAAUAUCCAGUUCAGUUUAGCCUUUCCUUUAGAGGUACAUUUUUUAAAUACUUCAUACCUUACAACCUGCCUUCUCAAAUUACAUGUAAGCCUAGCAGAAUUAAUUGUUUCAAUUGGGUAAGUAAUAGCAGUAAUAGUAGGAUUAACUAAUUUUAUACUUAUUCACUGGUGGAUUAUGUUGUUAAUCUCAGCUUUAGUCAAGUGGGAUUUAUUUAUCUUUAAAUGGACUUCAUUGUGUUGGUAGAUUAUGGUAAUUGAUAUUGUAUUUUGUAAAUAUUUAUAUUAGCUUUAUUUCUAUUGAAAUGUACUGGUAUGCAACUUCUAAUGAUGGUCACUUUGAUGUUAUUGUCACUUUCUGCUAUUAUUUAGCCCUUGGCAGCUAUUCACAUUGUCUUCUCACUUAUUUACUUAUCAACCUAUCCACCCACCUAUAUAUGUCUAUUUACAUGGGGAGUUUAGGCAUAUGUUAAAGCUUACAAUCUACUUGUUGGACUGUUUAGCAAUUUCGUUAAGACAAAGAGUAUAUGUUGUCCUGUUGUUUGCAUUUCUGUUUUGAAGACAGAAUGGCUGUAAUAAUACCUGUUCAUAAGUAUCUUUUCUACCUAAGACACAAGGCCUGGAAUUUUGUAGGAAUUAUUUGAUUAUAUUGAACCUAGUAUAUAACUGGUACUUAUUGUAUCAACACUGAAAGGACGAAAGGCAAAGUCAAUUUUGGUGGCAUUUGUACUCAGAAUGUAAAGCUGGAAGAAAUGGUAAACAUUAAGUCCAGCGUGCUGACAAUUCUGCCAUUUUGCUGACUUGCUAUAUAUAUAUAUAUAUCACGUCACAUGACCGACCAGGCUAUCAGAUGUUGCUACACAUCGCUGGUCACAAUGCGCUUCACAUUGUUUUAGCCUUCAAAUGAUGCCACCCCGCUGGCUAAGCGAGGAGCAGGCCAAACAGAAGAAAGAGUGAGAGAAAGUUGUGGCGAAAGAGUACAGCAGGGAUCGCCACCACCCCUGCUGGAGCUUUAGGUGUUUUCGCUCAAUAAACACUCACAACGCCUGGUCUGGGAAUCGAAACUGUGAUCCUAUGACCGCGAGUCCGCUGCCCUAACCACCGGGCCAUUGCACCUCCACAUAUAUAUUCUUGUACUUGUUUCAGUCAUUUGACUGUGGCCAUGCUAGAACACUGCCUUUAGUCAAACAAAUCAACCCCAGAACUUAUUCUUUGUGAGCUUGGUACUUUUUCUAUCGGUCACUUUUACUGAACUGCUAAGUUAUGAGAACGUAAACACACCAACAUCAAUUGUCAAGCGAUGGUGGGGAUCAAACACAGACACAUACAUAUACAUACACACAAUGGGCUUCUUUCAGUUUCCAUCUACUAAAUCCACUUACAAGGCUUUGGUCGUUUUGAGACUAUAGUAGAAAACACUUGCCCAAGGUGCCAUGCAGUGGGACUGAACCCAGAACCAUGUGGUUGGGAAGCAAGCUUCUUACCACACAACCCCACACCUGUUCAAUAAGACUGUAUUCUAUCCCAGUAAGUACAUGUUCUUGUACACUUACUUCAGCAAGCAUGUUGAAGUUUUUGACUUACUGAAGGGAUGUAAUAUAACCAAAACAUACUUGAUUUCUCUUGUGCAUGCUAAGACUCAAAAGAUCUUUCAAUAACUAAUACUAUUUUUGUCUUCCGCCUACAUAGUUUUUACUAGUGAAAUUGUCAAUGUUCUCUGCAUGAAAUAUUUUGACAUCAACAGAACUGUUUGUUAUUUUCCUUGGUCAUAAUUGUACUAAAAGCUCACAAUACUUAAUAGUAAAUAUUUUGCAAUAUUGGAAUUAGUUUUAGAUGCAGUCAUCUUUUGAAUUUCAGUAAAGUUAAGUAUUUCAUUUCGUUUUUGGAUUUGGUUUGCAAGAUUAGUUCGUGUAUUCUGUUGUGUCUGGGGAGAGUAAUUUUCUUUUUGUGCCUUAUAAUUUAACACGCUCACCGGUAGUCAAGACUAUUGAAAAGGUUGCAAGACGCAAUGAAAAUUUUAGGAAAAUAAAAAUAAGAAAUAAGUGGAAAUUUUACUAGUGAGUGUGUUAAAUUAUAAGUAUUUUUAUACAGUUCUAUAUUUAAGAGAUGAGGAAUUAUGUACAUUAUUUACAUUUGACGGAUAUUUCUCCUCAUCUUGUUUGUUUGUUAACAAUGUUUCAGCUGAUAUACCCUCCAGCCUUCAUCAGGUGUCUUGGGGAAAUUUCAAACCUGGGUUCUCAUUCCUGAGGUAUAAUAAUACUGAAAAAUACCUUAGGAAUGAGAACCUAGGUUCAAAAUUUCCCCAAGACACCUGCUGAAGGCUGGAGGGUAUAUCAGCCGAAAUGUUGUGUUAAUAAUAAACAAGAUGAGGACAAAUAUCUGUCAAAUGUAAAUAAUGUUAAUAAAUAUUUUAAUGUUUUCAAUAUUGCAAAAAUAAGUUUUCAGUUUUCACUACUUUAAACCUGUGUAGCCUGUUUUUUUUUUAGAAUGGUUUUUCUAGUGAUAAAAUUCCUAUAGUUGAAUUCUACGUUCUACUUGCCUAGAACCUGUCAUCAUUUCUCUGAACCACCCCUCCCCACUGGUGCUCCCCUAUAUAUUUCUGCACCCCCCCCCCCACAUAAAAAGCACCAUCCGAACAUGGCCGAUGCCAGACCCCUCUGGCACCUGUGCAGGUGGCACGUAAAAACACCCACUACACUCGCGGAGUGGUUGGCGUUAGGAAGGGCAUCCAGCUGUAGAAACACUGCCAGACUAGACUGGAGCCUGGGGCAGUCCCGAGCUCCCCAGACCCCGGUCGAAACCGUCCAACCCGUGCUAGCGCGGAAAACGGACGUUAAACGAUGAUGAUGAUGAUGAUGACUACAUUGCAUCUGGUUUCAUUGAAUUGAUUUUUGUUAUUUAUAUGCAGUGGCGUCACAGGUGGGCUGAUAGAAGAGAUAUGCAAGAGUAGUUAGCAUUAAGAGCACUCAUGAAAUACAUUCAAAUGCGCAGAAGGCUCCAUACAACUUGGUGCAAUUGCAAGUAGAUGUUCUGAAAUAGUAGCGAGAGUAAGGAUGGAGUUAGAAAAUUUCAAGGGUUUAAUACCUCAGCUGGUGACAGAAGGGUUCUGUAUUUGAAUAAAGAGUAGAUUGUGUAUAAAGUGAGACAUUGCAUUGUAGCUAAGUGUAGGUUUUGAGUGCAGAGGAUUUGUGAAAGCUUGAAAGAUAUGAGGUGAGCAUGAUUUACUGGAUGUGUUAGGUUAGAAUGUACAAACAAAGGACCACAAAUGAGUUGAGAGAAAAUGAGAAAAAUAGUUUACAUGAGGUAUAUGAUGUCGUGUGCAAGAGAAACAACUGUGCUGUUGUUACGGGCCUGUAAUAUACAUGGACUGUUACAAUGCAAUAUCUCCCUUAAUACACAAUCCAUCCUUCAUUCAAGUAGAGAACCCUUCUAUCACCAGCUGAGAUAUUAAACUUUUGAAAUUCUCUCACACCAUCCUAUAUAUACAUACAAACAAGCUUCUUUCAGUUUUUGUCAGCUGAAUCCACUUACAAGGUUCUGGUCAGUCUGGGGCUAUUGUAGAAGAUACUCCAGCCUUCAUCAGGUGUCUUGGGGAAAUUUCAAACCUGGGUUCCCAUUCCUAAGGUAUUUUUCGAUAUUAUUCAGGUCACUGCCUGGAAUCGAGCUCGGAAUCUUGGGGUUAGUAGUCCACACUCUUAACCACUAUGGCCGUGGGUAAUUAUGGAGUGAGUUUUAGGGCUUAUAAAUCUGAUAUUUCCCCAUCCUUCCUUAAUACAGGUUCCCAUAUGUUAGUCAUAUCUCCACUUGGUCUGCUUUAGAAGGUUGUUGUGUCCUAGCAUAUAUGCUGCUUCUUUUAGUUUUCAUAUUUUCCAGUGGUGUUCUCUGUCUAUUAUUUUAACUUCAUUCCACUGGGGGAGGUGGUCUCCAUUUUUCUAUACGUGAUCAGGUAUACCCGAUUUAUCAAUAUCUUCUCAUGUCACAGCUUUGCGAUGUUCCUCUGCCCUUAUUUUUAGGGGACGACAUGUUUUGCCUUUGUAUAACCUACUACAGCUGCAUGGGAUGGAGUACACACAGUUUUUGGUCAUAUUCUCUUCUAUUGGUGGUUUUACCUGAAGGAGAAAUUUGCGAAUAUCCGUCUAAUGUAAAUAAUAUACAAGAUCACGCAGUUGGGAAGGCUGCUUUUCAACCCACAGUCAUGUCUGCACCUAUUGUAUAUCUUCAGAGUAAACUUAGCUAAGACUAAAACAUUAGUAAGUGAAAGACAAACCCCUUGCUAUGAUCAAGGAAGUCUAUACUUGCUACUCAGAAAAGGAGCAAGUAGGAAUUUCACAUUAUGUACCUAAUAUAUACAGUGGACAUACAAGAUGUGUAGCUGGACCUCAAGCAAGUUAACAAUAAAUGUAGACUUCAUGUGUGGAAAAGUUCACAGAGGUUGUAAGUAUCAACACCUCAUAGGAAGUACAUCCUGUCAAGCACUUGGAAGGCUCCCUAUAAUUAGUUGACAGCCUUUGUUACUGAGGUGAUCUAAUUAGCAGUGGGGUGGGUAUUCUGAAAGAGUCGCCAGAGUAAGAACGUUCUGGAAAAAGUUCAGUGAGUUAGGGCUUCUUUAAAAUUUUAGUGUGUAUGAAUGACUGAGUUGAAAUGAGCAGAGAGAAAGAAAAAACUGGACUUGCUGGUAUGGACUUGUGAUAUAUAUGAGGAUGAGUGAUGUAUAAAGAAGUACUGUCCACAAUGAAGGAGUGGAACCUGUGAAGGAGGGAGACAAGUGUGUGUGUGUGUGUGUGUGUAUAUAUUUAAAAAUUAUGAGUAUAAUUAUAAUUAGUUUCAGCAAAAAAUUUGCUUUACCACAUACCGAAAAUUAGAAAUAGCAUUUAAAAACUAACUAUUUCACUACCAUAUGAAAAUCUCCCAAACAGUAAUACUCAACAACUCACGCAGGUAAAAAGAAAAAAAAAAAUAACGAAUCCACCCGGCUUUGAUUAACUGUAUAUGCGUUUUGGAGUUAGAGAGAUGUGAAAAAUGUUAAAAUCAUAUUUCCGCUCUCAUUCCCCUAAUUCAAGAUUUUAAAUUUGAGAGCACUGAAAAAUGAAACAUACUUAUCUGACCAGGCGACAUCAGUAUUGAGUAUUGCUGUCUAGGAGAUUUUCUUAUGGUAGUGAAAUAGUUUUUAACUGCUAUUUCUAAAUUUCGGUAUGUGGUGAAGCAAAUUUUUUGCUGAACCCUAAUUAUAAUUAUACUCAUAAUUAUAGAAUUUUUGUAUAAGUUUACUGAUAAUGGCUCUUUUAACAUACCGAACUAUUUGGUAAAAUUAUUAAUUAAUUAAUUAAUUUUGCCCUUUGUUAUUAUUGAUAUAUAUAUAUAUAUACAUAAUAUUAAUUAGAGACAAAACCACUAUUAUGCAAAUCAAACAAAGAAAGACUUAAUCCAAUACAUUAAAAAAAUUUUAUAUAAAUUAAAUAAAAUUAAAUUAGAAGAGACACGAAACAAUUGUAGUGGCGAAUUUAAUUUUAUUUAAUUUAUAUAAAAAUUUUUUUAUGUCUUGGAUUAAGUCUUUCUUUGUUUGAUUUGCAUAAUAGUGGUUUUGUCUCUAGUUAAUAUUAUAUAAUAUUUUACUAUAAAAUUGGAUUCAGUCCUAAAUCUGAUUUUUCCCUGUAAAUUUGGAUUUAUUCCCUAAUAUUUAUUAUUAUAUAUAUACAUAUAUAUAUAAAAAGCACCAUCCGACUCGUAGCCGAUGCCAGCACCGCCUCGUCUGGCUUCCGUGCCGGUGGCACAUAAAAUACACCCAUCCGACCGUGGCCGUUGCCAGCCUUGCCUGGCACCUGUGCAGGUGGCACGUAAAAAGCACCCACUACUCUCAUGGAGUGGUUGGCGUUAGGAAGGGCAUCCAGCUGUAGAAACACUGCCAGAUAAGACUGGAGCCUGGUGCAGCCUUCUGGCUUCCCAGAUCCCCGGUCGAACUGUCCAACCCAUGCUAGCAUGGAGAACGGACGUUAAACGACGAUGAUGAUGAUGAUGAUAUAUAUGUGUGUGUGUGUGUGUGUGUAUAUACAGUAAUCUUCAACUAUCAUGGGUGUUACAUUCCAAAACACCCCCCCGUGAUAGGUGAAAAUCCAUGAGGUAGGAACAGUACUGUACUCUUUUACUCUUUUACUUGUUUCAGUCAUUUGACUGUGGCUAUGCUGGAGCACCGCCUUUAGUCGAGCAAAUCGACCCCAGGACUUAUCCUUUGUAAGCCUAGUACUUAUUCUGUCGGUCUCUUUUGCCGAACCACUAAGUUAUGGGGAUGUAAACACAUUAGCAUCGGUUAUCAAGUGAUGUUGGGGUGGGCAAACACAGAUGCACAAACAUAUACACACACACAUACAUACAUAUAUACGACGGGCUUCUUUCAGUUUCCGUCUACUAAAUCCACUCACAAGUGUUUGGUCAACCCGAGGCUAUAGUAGAAGACACUUACCCAAGGUGCCACGCAGUGGGACUGAACCCGGAACCAUGUGGUUCGUAAGCAAGCUACUUACCACAUAGCCACUCUUUUGCCUACUGUGUUUUUUUUUUGUAAUUAUUUUUAUAAUUUGUAUAUAUUUUAUUAUAAAUGCAAAACAGCAUCACGGAGGAAUCGGUGUAAGCUUAUGUAAUAAACUGCGAAAUGGCGAGGGAUUACUGUGUGUGUAUAUAAGGGGGCCUGACAGGAUCUAAUGAGUCAAAAGACUGCAUUGGGUUCCAGUGUCUACUUUGGUAUGGUUUCUAUGGAUGGAUGCUCUUCCUAACGCCAGCCAUUUUAUAGUGUGUACUAGGUACUUAUAGUAUUGGUAAUAGUGAGGUUGCUAAGUAACUUGUAUGACAAAAUAACUCCUCAACUGAGUGGGAAUGUAAUAGAGAGGCAGUUGAGACUUUGUCUGGUGUUGAGAGCCUAAUGAUCGAGUGACAGGAACAGAUGACUUGCUGCAGUGGAGAUAUAGGGCUACCUCAAAUUAUAUAUGAGUGAGUGGGAGUAGUUAGAAAGUGUGAUGAAGAUGGUGGUGACAAGGUGUAAGAGCAUAAGGUGAACAGAAGAGAAAAUAGGGAGUAAGUCAGGAAGGGUUGGGAGUAGGUUCACAAGAGUGUGAGAGGAGCAGGAUUUAUAAUACAGUUCUGUAUUUAAGAGAUGAGGAAUUAAUUACAUUAUUUACAUUUGACAGAUAUUUGUCCUCAAGAUGAGGACAAAUAUCCGUCAAAUGUAAAUAAUGAGCAUGAUUGAUGGUUAGAGAUGGAGGUAGAAGUUAAAGUAAUGAAUAGUGAACAAGGUUAGAGGGGGGUGGUUGAUGCUAAAUAUGAAUUUUGAGGGACAGUAAUAAGAAACAGAAAUGGCUCAGGAAGGACAUCAUCAAGGCUCAGUUCUCAGUCUCCUUUUGGUCAUCAUAUUCCUCCAAGCCAUAAAAACCAUGCUAUACCAGACAUUGGAGCAUGAUGAAGUCUUCUGACUGAUUGGACUCUGUUUCAGCAUCCAACAAAAUGUUAUCAAGGCAGACAGACUUUAAAAGAUGUAGAUGGUGAUAUAUGUAUAUCAGCUGUUAUCUACAUCUGCUGCUUCUUCUAUCUCUUUGAUACAUUCUCAUGUCUAAUACUUGCCCUUCACCAUAUGAUGGCUGCCUAUAAGACUAAGGAUGGCAGGGGAUAUCACUGUACCAUCCUUUCCAUGUAGAUGCUAUUGGACCUCUCUAACCCUUUCAUCUCUGACGUUCACCCUCUCCACUGUACCAUGCUGUCUGUGUAAUGAGGGAUUGUAUUAGACCUACCCAUAUUUCAAUCCCUCACCACCAAUGUCCUUAACGUUACUUCUCUUGCCCAUCAUGAGACAUGUAUAAGGGACACAGCAGGUGUUUGUAUUUCAUACACUUUACCAUCACCUUUUCUUUCUUGGACCACUUGUUACUGACAUCAGCUACUGAGUCUCACCGUUAUCACUCUCCAGUAUUGUCCAUUACCCUUUGUCUCCCUUUACCACUCUCUUACAUCAAUCAUUCCCCUUCCAUUAUACUCUUGCUUUCAUCCACUCAUCCUAAUUCUUUGGUUAUUGCUUUCUCUUCUACUCACCUUCUUGCUCACGUUUUGAGUGAAUGAAUGCAUCAUAAAGUAAGACUAAGGUUAUUCUCCUAGGACUGGUUCCACAAUAAAAUGUAUCUAGUAUGAUUUAUAAAAAAUGGUUGUUCACCAUCCGAACGUGGCCGAUGCCAGCGCCGCCAUGACUGGCUUCUGUGCUGGUGGCACAUAAAAAGCACCAACUGAUCGUGGCCGCUGCCAGCCUCUCCUGGCACCCGUGCCAGUGGCAUGUAAAAAGCACCCACUACACUCAUGGAGUGGUUGGCAUUAAGAAAGGCAUCCAGCUGUAGAAACACUGCCAGAUCAGAUUGGAGUCUGGUGUAGCCUCCUGGCUUCCCAGAACCCGGUCGAACCGUCCAACACGUGCCAGCAUGGAAAACAGACGUUAAACAAUGAUGAUGAAUGGAUGGGGAUGAUGUGGAGUUGAGAGGAUCUAUUUGUCUUGUUGAGAACAUGGCAGUAUCUCUAGUGUUGGUGGUACCUUGGUAAAAUGCACCCAGCAUGCACUAUAAAGUAGCUGGCAGUUGGAAGGAUAUGCAACUGUGGAAAGCAAGCCAAAAACAUGAGCAAGACAUGGUUGUCUGAUCCACCUAGAAGAGUAAGAACUGACUUAAAUUGUAAUGAUCGAUCUAACCCAUGCCAGCAUGGAAAGUUGACAUAAACAAUGAUGACUACACUGUUGUGUAAUGUACAUGCUAGCUGGUCAAUUUCUUUUUCUGAAAAACCCAGUUUUGCCAGAUUGUCACUUCAGCAUUUAUUAACAAAACCAAGUGCACCAAUUAUUAGUGGUAAAAUAUUAAUUUAUAAUCUGAGUAUAGAAAGUGAAGGCUUUGAAGUCGUCUAUAAAUAUCCUCUUCUCUUUGAUUUUCAAACAGAUGCUCACAUCAGCAGGGCAACUGACCUCUAUGACUGGGCAUGCUUUUUCUUGUCAGCCCCAAACAACUAUAUCCAGCAUGUUUGCAAGUAGUAGUAGUUUUGAUGGGAAUGUUCCACCAAUAUUUUUUGUGUCAAUGUAUAUGAAUGUAUUAAAUAACAGGGAAAGUCUCUACAUUUAUCCCAGAACAGACAUUGCAUUGUAUAUUGUCUGCGUUACAACACCAUGUCAUGUUGAGAGGUUAUACCUUGAUAACAUUUUUAGGCAACAGUUGACCACAUGUAUGAUGUCUUCCACAGAAAUGUGACAUAUAGGCGCAGGAGUGGCUGUGUGGUAAGUAGCUUGCUAACCAACCACAUGGUUCCGGGUUCAGUCCCACUGCGUGGCAUCUUGGGCAAGUGUCUUCUGCUAUAGCCCCGGGCCAACCAAUGUCUUGUGAGUGGAUUUGGUAGACGGAAACUGAAAGAAGCCUGUCGUAUAUAUAUAUAUAUAUAUAUAUAUAUAAGUGUGUGUGUAUAUGUUUGUGUGUCUGUGUUUGUCCCCCUAGCAUUGCUUGACAACCGAUGCUGGUGUGUUUACGUCCCCGUCACUUAGUGGUUCGGCAAAAGAGACAGAUAGAAUAAGUACUGGGCUUACAAUGAAUAAGUCCGGGGUCGAUUUGCUCGACUAAAGGCGGUGCUCCAGCAUGGCCGCAGUCAAAUGACUGAAACAAGUAAAAGAGUAAAAGAGUAUAAUUGACAUUUUCGGUUGCAUCUUGGGUCUUCAAGGGCUCACUAUUUCUUCUGUUCAUUAGGUAUUUUAGAGUAAUCUGCUGCACUUGGAUUGCAAACUCAUAGCCUACAAAGUAUGAUGUAAUGCAACAAUGGUGAUUCCAAGAAAGGCUGCACUUAUGUUGAUGGUGUCAUCUUCAAAGCAGCAAGCUGGCAGAAUCGUCAGUGUUCCAGGCAAAAUGCUUAGUGGCAUUUCAUCCAUACUCUUUCGCUUUUACUCUUUACUUGUUUCAGUAAUUUUGACUGCGGCCAUGCUGGAGCACCGCCUUUAGUUGAGCAAAUCGACCCUGGGACUUAUUCUUUGUAAGCCCAGCACUUAUUCUAUCUGUCUCUUUUGCCGAACCGCUAAGUGACGGGGGCGUAAACACACCAGCAUCGGUUGUCAAGCAAUGCUAGAGGGACAAACACAGACAUACAAACAUACACACACACACACACAUAUAUAUAUAUAUAUAUAUAUAUAUAUAUAUAUAUACGACAGGCAUCUUUCAGUUUCCGUCUACCAAAUCCACUCACAAGACAUUGGUCGGCUCGAGGCUAUAGUAGAAGACACUUGCCCAAGAUGCCACACAGUGGGACUGAACCCGGAACCAUGUGGUUCGUAAGCAAGCUACUUACCACACAGCCACUUCUGCCUUUACAUUCUGAGUUCAAAUUCCACCAAGGUCAGCUUUGACUUCCAUCCUUUCAGGGUCAAUAAAAUAAAUAUCAGUUGAGUUUUGGGAUUGAUGUAAUUGACUCCCCCCACCUUUCCCUGAAAUAGCUGGUCUUGUGCCAAAAUUUGAAACCAAUAUUAAUUAGUGUUAUCUUCAAGUCUUUGGAAAACAUAUAAUCAUACACAUGUAUAGUCUCUCUCUCUCUCUCUGAUAUAUUGGUUGAGCAUUUAACAUCUGGGUCUUCUUUGAGGUAUGGCAGUCCAGCUGUUUUUGGGUUGUAUGGGAAGUUAGGAAGAGAGCACUUCCUGAGGAGCUCAUUGCCAACAUGUAGGAUGUUCUCUUUGCUUUUCAGCAUGAAGCUUAUAUAUUUAUUUUUGCUGGUGUUGUUUACCUCUAUGACAUUCGAAGGCUGCUUGCCCUGAUCCCAAGCCCCUAUUUCCAUUGUUUCUGAGGUAGACCUUGUUGAUAUUGUUUCUGCUGAAGUUUCCAGUUGAUAUCAGGGUCUUGUGGAGUUUAACCCUUUAGCAUUUAAACCGGCCAUAUCCGGCCAAAGGUAUUCUGCCUGUUUUAUGGUCAAACUGGCCAGAUCUGGUCUCUCACACCAGCCCUACAAUAUCGUUUUUAAAAUUAACAGCUACCUCAUCAGAAUCUCAUAGCUACAAGAUGAUGCAUGAUUAGUUCAAAACAAUGUGGAUAAAAAAAGCAUUAAUUUUGGCAGAAUAAUGUGAACACUAAAGGGUUAAUGUCUAUGGAGUGGAUUUCCUCAAUCAAAUAUCUCAAAUAUUGGUUUCAGCACAGGUACUAUAAAUGCAUUGUAGGAUAUCGUCUUGCUGUGAGACAUGAACUCCACCUGCCAAAUUUUUCUAAAUCUGGUGUAAUAUUCUUGGGUUACUCUAUCUUCAUUCACAGUACUUUCAGAUGACGUAUUUUCAUCAAUGCCUAUGUAUUAGUAGUAUUAGUAGCAUUCUUUGUGUUGAACAAGAGAUAGAGAUGCAUAUGUUUCGGGUUUAGAAGUCUGAUUUUCCACAUUCAAUAAUCAAAUACAAAGACUUCUUUUUGGCCAAAUUCCAUUCCUAUAUCAGCUGAAUAUGUUGAUAUUAACUCCAGCUGUCUUUUUGGCAUUAAAAACAUUUUUAUCAUAGGUUUUCAGGUCAUCCACAAAGAAAUUAUGAGUUACAUUGAUAUCUCUAGCAGUUGCUGACCCUAACGUAGCCAUUGGAUUUUCGUAAAAGAAAUGAUUGUAGAUUUAAUGCCAAAAUAAACAGAAUUAUAGAAAGAUUAUCUAAUUUGAAUAUUUCCAUUAGGAUAUGCAUAACAUCAGAGACAAUCAUUCUGCUCCCAGGUGUAAGUGCAAGGAUUGUUGUCAAUGGUAGCAACUAAUUUUAGUUUUAAAAUAGUCUCUAAAAUAUUUAUCACUAGCAUGCAUUUUAUCCAGUCAGAUACCAACAUGAGUGGUGAUUAACAUUGGUUCCAGUUGGUCAAAUUAGUAUAUCUUAGAGAAUCUUUUAUUUCACUCAAUGAAAAAAGAAGCUUAUGAAUCUAUAUGCUAAAAGAUGUGACCCAUUCCCCCUUUACUUUGUCUAUACAUACUGAACCAAAUGUAAGUUUUUUUUCCUCAUAUUUAUGUUAAUAUCACACGUCAUCUCAAAAGCUGUCUGCAUUUAUUUAGACAAUUCCCAUCUGUUCUCACUCUAAGGACUCUUACUUAACUGGAAUGUAUAUUUACCAGGUAGAUGACUUUAUCCCGAUGUAUCUCUGCAAACAAACUUUGCCAACACCUGAUAAUAUUUCCUUUUACACUGUGUAUUGACUCCUUUAUCCAUUUACUUUGCUCUACAAUAACCCUUCAGUUUUUAAACUGGCCUUGCAUUCAGACAUACAUGUAUCGUAAUAGAAGGCAGCUGUCCUGCUGAUGUGAAUAUCUCUUAGAAAAUCAAGGAGAAAGAAGAUAACUAUGGACAACUGCUUUGAAACCUCCAGAUUACAACUUUACACUUAUACUAAUAAAAAUUGGAGUACUUGGGGUUUAGUAAGUACGUGCUUAACUGUCAGUCUGGAUAAGCCUGGAUUUUCAGAAAAAGAAAAAAGAUUAAUCAGCUGAUUCACACAUUACAAAUACAAUUUGUAAGUGGAACAGUAAAACUAUGCAAGACUUUUUUCAGGUUUAGAAUGUGAUAUUCUUUUCCAUAUCUAUAUUCCAAAGAUGGAGCUUUGUACCUUUGUUAGAAACCAGUUCCUUGCUCAGAGGAAGAAUUUAAAUGAUUAAAUACAGAAGAUAGAGAGAGAGAGAGAGAGAGAGAGAGUGUGUGUUUCUCUCUCUCUCUCUCUCUCUCUCAAUCAAUCACACAAUCAUUUAAUAGUGUGUGUAAUCAUCGUUUUAUGUCAUUUUCCAAGCUGGGAUAGGUUAGCUAUAUCAUUGUAGUCUUAGUCAUUUACCACUUUUCUAGGUGGGUCAGACAACCAUGUCUUGCUCAGGCUUGGUUUCUACAGUUGCAUAUCCUCCUUCCUACUGCCUGCUACUUUACAGUGUGUACUAAUUGCAUUUUACCAAUGCCAAAACAAAUAAAUUUUAUAAGCAGAACAGUAAAAAUAUGUGAAAUUUUUCUCAAGUUCAAUAUGUGAUAUUGUUUUUGCUAUCUAUAUUCCAAUAAUGGAGCUUUUGUUUCUUUGUUAGAAUCCAGCUCCUUCUGUACAGGAAGACAUCAAAUAAUUAAAAAUAGAGAAGAUGCAUGCAUACAUAUAUACAUACAUACGUACAUAAGUAUGUAUAUAUGUAUUUAUGUACAUAUAUAUGUAUGUAUGCAAAUGAAUGUAAGGAUAAAUGGUUUCUAUCUUCCCAGUAUCACUUGCAAGGCAUUGUAGCUACAGAAGAUAUUUGCCCAUGGUGCCUAUUAGGGAAAUUAAAUCUAAAACAUGUUGCUUCAAAGUAAGUUUCUUAAUCAUGUAGCUAUUCCUUGUAUGGUAUUAUUUACAUGUGGAGCUGGCAGAAACGUUAGCACGCCGGACGAAAUACUUAGCAGUAUUUCGUCUGCCACUACGUUCUGAGUUCAAAUUCCGCCGAGGUCGACUUUGCCUUUCAUCCUUUCAGGGUCGAUUAAAUAAGUACCAGUUAAUCCCUUUGUCUGUCCUUGUUUGUCCCUUCUGUGUUUAGCCCCUUGUGGGUAGUAAAGAAAUAGGUAUUAUUUACAUGUGGAAAGGCUGGUAGAUUGGCAGAACCACUCGAGUGUUUAAGAAGAUACUUUGCAGUAUUUUAUGUGUCUCUUUAUUUACAGUUUGAGUUCAAAUUCCACCAGUCAGCUUUACUUUCAUCCCUCUGGAGCUGAUAAAAUAAAAUUACCUAUCAAGUACUAGAAUCAGUAGUAUUGGCAACUAAUAACAUCUCCUUUCAAAAUUGCUGGCCUUAGUGCCUGAAUUAGAAAUUAUUAUCGUGUUUGUAUGUCUCAGUGUAUUAGAAUCAACUGUGUUUUGGUGGUAAAAUAAAUGUUUUAAUCUCUUUUAAUUACUUUUCAAAAAGUCAAAAUAGCUUGAAAUGAAUUAGCUGAAGCCAUUUCUGUAUUAAUUACUGUGAGAAUUUAAUUCUUAGAGCUGGGGACAAAUUUUUCUCAUGGGAUUUUGUUUCUUUUUGUAGUUAGGUUCCAAGUACUAAACUAAAAUCUGUAGAAAGGAUGCAGAGUAUAAAAAAAUAAACAACAACCAAACUAGAUUCUUUACAUUAUCUAUUUCAGUGUAAUUUUUUUUUUUUAUAUUUGUGGCUCCAAAUUAGCUCUAAUUGAGCUGACUUGUGAUUAAAGAUGUUUAGGCUAUUAUCAUUCCAUUUCUUUUAUUAUUUUUAUAUUCGUUUAGGAAUGGUGUACCCCUAAUUACAUAAUCCACUGUUUUUUUUUAAAUUGGUGGUGAGAGAAUUUUGGUUACUAUUUGUUACAGCUCAAGUGACCAUUUAGAGAGGCUGCAGAACUGACUUUAGUUUUUCUAUAUUAAAUCUAAUGGUAGACUAGAUAAUUAGAACCAGCAACAAGCAGAUAUCAGUUAACUCCUUUGUUCUUUCGGUAAAAACUUUGUUGUUUAAAACUAGUCACCUAGUUUUUUUUGUUUAAAGUUAUUUAAGUAAUUACACCUUAUUUUCUAUUGGUAGAUAAGAGCAUUUAUUUUGUUUCACUAUUCAUAAGAGGAAACCAAGAAUACUCACGAUCAUUAUAAUAUUUCAAAAUAUAAAAAAUAUAUAUCUUUUACUUGUUUCAGUCAUUGGACUGCAGCCAUGGUGGUGCACUCCCUGCAGGGUUUCCUCUUUAAAACUGACCCCUUGUACUUAUUUUUAAGUCUGGCACUUAGUCUAUAGGUCUCUCUAUAACUGUCAGGUUACAGAGAUGUAAACAAACCAACACUGGUUGUCAAGUGGAGUUAGGGGACAAAUGCAAAUACACUGACAUGCACAUGCAUAUAUGGGCUUUUUUCAGUUUCUGUCUUCCAAAUCCAUUCACAAGGCUUUGGUCUGCCUAAGGCUAUAGUAGAAGGUAAGGCGGCGAGCUAGCAGAAACGUUAGCGAGCUGGAGAAAUGCUUAGUGGUAUUUCGUCUGUCGUUACGUUGUGAGUUCAAAUUCCGCCUCGGUCGACUUUGCCUUUCAUCCUUUCGGGGUCGAUAAAUAAAGUACCAGUUUCGCACUGGGGUCGAUGUAAUCGACUUAAUCCCUUUGUCUGUCCUUGUUUGUCCCCUCUGUGUUUAGCCCCUUGUGGGCAGUAAAGAAAUAUAUAGUAGAAGAUGACUGCCCAAAGUGCCAUGCGGUGGGACUGAACGUAGAACCAUGUGGUUGGGAAGCAAGCUUCUUAACCACACAACCACCCCUAUUUCUACAUGUUUCAGUUAAUUUUGGCAGUAAGUAGAAUUAAAAGUGAAAAAAAUUGUAUUAAUAUGCAGAUAAACAGGAAUCAUUCCCAAUGUUUUUCAGUCUGUUUGCAGCUUUAACAUCUCUUUUUAAGUUCACAGAAUUUUGUGUUGCAACAUGUUUUACAAAAUAUGAAUAUGGUGAUUGAGUAAUGCAGCAAGCUGGCUGAAUUACUAGCAUGCUGGACAAAAUGCUGCUAAGCAUUUUGUCUGUCUUUAUGUUCUGAGUAAUCGACUUACCCCUCUCCAAAAUUUACUGGCCUUAUGCCAAAAUUUGAGACCAAUAUUAUGAUUAACCCUUUAGUAUUCAGAUUAUUCUGUCAAAUGUAAUACUUAUGUAAUCAAAUUGUUUUGAAUUAAUCAUGCAAAGACAUCGUAGUAUUGAAAUUUUGAAGAUGUGAUUGCUUAUUCUUAGAAUGACAUUGUAGGAUAAGUGUGCAAAGCCAGAUCUGGCCAGUUUGAACACAGAACAAGUAGACUAUUUUGGCCGGAUAUGGCCGGUUUAAAUGCUAAAGGGUUAAGUGAAAACCGAGAAGUAAAUAUAAAUUCAAAACAUUAGUUAGUGUUUAAACUUCCUAAAUUAUUAAAUUAUUAAAAUUCAUAAAUUAUUUUAAACUGAAGUUCUUACUUGAAAUCAUAGGUUUUAAUAUAAUAUGAUCAUUUUAAAUCAGCAGGUAUUGUGUCACAGAACGCAGGUAGGAUGUCAAAACACUAAUAACCCUUUUAAUAAAUGAUUACCAAUUUACACUUUUAAAAAUACAUUUUUAACAUUUCAGAGAGUUCUUGUAGCUUUGUUUUGUCUUUCUCUUCUUUCUUUGUAUGUUUUUGGUCUUCAAGUUCCAUAGUACCUUGGUUAAUAAUAACCGUUUUUGAUUCCCAAGUACUGGUGUGUAAGCUAAUGAGCUGAGCACACAUUUCAGUUUUCAAUUAUUCAAUUUCUAAUCAUCAUCAUCCCUUUUUCCAUACUGGUAUGUGUUGGAUGGUUUGAUAAGAACAUAUAAGCCAGAGCGCUGAAUCAGGUUCUAUGUCUGUUUUGGCAUUGUCUUUACAGCUGGAUGUCCUUCCUAAUGCCAACCACUUUACAGAGUGUACUGGGUGCUUUUUUUAUGAUGCACCAGCACCAGUGAGGUCACCAAGUACUCACAAGACAAGACCCCCUCGACUGAGUACAAUAUAGAAUGGAGGGAUAAGAAACUAAUAGAGAGAAAGAAGCUGGUGUCAUAACUCCCAUACUCCUAUUUCUUGAAGGUCAAUUGAGUUAAUUAACCAUUGAUUAAUCUUGCUAGUUGCAAUCAGUUGAGCAUGAAAAUCAGAAUUAGUUUCUCUUUUACCUCAACCUGUGAAUGGUUACAAUGAUGAAAUACAAUAUAUUUCUUGAAAGCAGCAAAAACCUAUAAACUGUUUUGAUGUUAACAAAACCUAUGUAGCUGGUAAAUAGCAAGUUUUCCUUUAUGUGCAGAAACCAAUUCUGAUUUCUGAAGAAAAUAAUUGAAGGGAAAAGCUUUGAAUAAAUUAGAACCAGUGUUUUGAAAGAGUUUACAUUCAUUCAUACUCGAUGCUGUAAACAGCUGUGAUUGUAAUUGCUUUAAAUGUACCUUCCUAGUUUCUGUAUUUUUGAGUUUACUUUUUGAAAAAGUUAUAUACCAUCCUCAGUUGGUGGUAGCAUAUCAGCUUUUACAUGGAUGUUAAAAUUGAAUAAAUAAAUACCUUCUAAAAUUCUUAACUAUUCUAAAUUAGGUAGCUUUUGUUUAAUAUCUUUAAAAUCACCUAUUUUGAUUUUUAGAGAAAGAAUCUGUAUUAUCGCUAGAAGCUCUCUUGGAUGUUUACAUAGUAGAUUUUGUUCUAAAAUAAUUCAAAGCAAACAAUGUUAAUUCAAAUUUCUCCAAUUAGAUUUUUGAUAAAGAGAUUUCAGAUUGAAUGUAAGACAAAUAGAGUUUCUAAUCUUAAAGUCUCUCUGUUAAGUGCUAUUUGGACAUAUUCAAUUUAUUGCCUUUAUCCUUGUUUAGAAAACAGGAGUGGCUGUGUGAUAAGUAGCUCGCUUACCAACCACAUGGUUCCGGGUUCAGUCCCACUGCGUGGCACCUUGGGCAAGUGUCUUCUACUAUAGCCCUUGGGUCGACUAAAGCCUUGUGAGUGGAUUUGGUAGACGGAAACUGAAAGAAGCCUGUUGUAUAUAUAUAUAUGUGUGUGUGUGUGUAUAUGUCAAACUUCGCUUGACAAACGAUGCUGGUGUGCUUACAUCCCUGUAACUUAGCAGUUCGGCAACAGAGACUGAUAGAAUAACUAUUAGGCAUGCAAAGAAUAAGUCUUGGGGUUGAUUUGCUCGACUAAAGGUGGUGCUCCAGCAUGGUCGCAGUCAAAUGACUGAAACAAGUAAAAGCGUAAAGAGAGUCUGAGGUAUUUUAGCUGCCUUGCAUCUUUAGCAGUUAUGAAUUUUAAUAAUUUACAAAAUUAGAAUUUUAACUAAUGUCUUUAAUUUAUAGUCAUGUUUCACUUAUUGGUUUUUACUGAUCUUUUAUCUCUUACCUGUUUCAGUCAUUGGACUGCAACUAUGCUAGGGCAUUGCCUUGCUGAACUGCUAAGUUAUAAAGAAUGUAAAUAAACCAACACUGGUUGUCAAACUGAUGAGAGACAAACACAAAGGCAAAUACACACACACACGACUGACUGCUUUUAGUUUCCAACUACCAAAUCUGCUCAGGGCUUUGAUUGGCCCCCAAGCUAUUGUAGAAGACACCUAAGUUGCCAUGAAGUAGGACUGAACCUGAAUGAUUUUGUGUUAAAAAGUGAAGUUGGAGCUGCAAGCAGUUUGAAAGGCAUUGAAAAUAAUUCCUGUUUAAGUGUAGAUUGAUACAAAUCUUUUCACUCCUACUUAAUGUUUAGAAAAAAUUCUUUUCACUCCUUAAAGUGAAGCAAUUUCAAAGGAAAAAUAUUUCAAAUUGAGAGUAAUUAGGUUGUAAAACUUGUUUCACGACCAUUUUAUUUCCUUGUUACAUGACUAUUAUAUUUUCUGUGUAUUUUAAGUCAAUGUUUCUCCCAUGGAGUGGUAGUGAUACUGUGAGGAUUUAAUAAAAUAAAAAUGGUUUUAACCCUCUUGAUACCAUGUUUGAGACUGCCUCUGAUAUAAACUUCCUGUUUUAAAAUGAUCUAAUGACUGAAACAAGUAAAAGAUAGAAGAUAAUAUUCUAUUUAUUUGCUCAUGGAAGCUUGAUAUUGUCUAUUUGAAAAUCACUGUUUUUAAGUAUCAUAAAUUGUAUUUAAGACAAUAGAAUAUUUAGUUUCACUUUCACAUUUUCAAAUGGAUCAUUACAUAAAUUUAAUUAUUUUUCAGUUUGCUGGUUUACAUGAACGAACAUGCCACCCAAGAUGCAUUGGUUAUAGGGGUAAAUCAGUCAGAAAACCCCUUCAGGGACCAGAAGAGUUGUAUUAUAUUAUGAGCUGAAUAUCAAAAUCUAGAGAUGCAUUUGUGUAAGUACUUUUUAAUGUUAUACUUUUAUCAUCAUCAUUAUUUUACAUCUGUUUUUCUAUGUUGUUAUGGGUGGGAUAAAAUUGCUCCAGCUUUGUUCUGUUGUGGUCCUUUGUCAUUAGCUACACAUAACUAUAAAGAAAACCAAUAAUUUUUCUUGUUGUGUAUGUCAUCAUUUUUGGUGUGUUUUUCUUUUUUGUAGGGUUGUUUUAUAUCUUUUGUGGUGUUGAAUUAUGUUAUCUACCUAUGGUUUUGUAUAUUUUCAUUAAUGCAAACAUGAGUAAAUGUUAAAAAGGGAGUAAAAGAAAAUGAAUUCCUUAGAUCUGCCUGUCUGGCUUGUAUAGUUAACCCUUUUACUGUGGAAAUCAGAUGUAUCCACUCAAAAUUUCAUUACUCUGUAGAAAGCAGCCUAUUUUUUGCUGAGGAAUGUCAUAUUUGAACUAUUUUUUGUUGAGAAAAGUCAAAUUUAUUGCAGAAAAUAACAAUUCUAUUUUUUGGUAGAUAUUCAACAUCGUUACUGGAAUAAUCAUGAAAUUUAUUUAUACAGUUAAAGAGUUAAGAGUGUUAAAUCUGAAAUACAAGGAAACUGUUUAUGGUCUUUCAUUGGUAUCAAUUAUUUUAUUUGAGAACUUUUGGUAGAGUCUGUGUAUGGGAGGUGAAGAGUUUAAUUCUUUGGGAUCUUUCUUUUGUCUGAGACUGACAAAUGGAGAAAUAUUAUUACCUAGGAUGUAAGCAUUCUUUCAGUAGUAUUCUGCCAAAAACUAUAAUGUGAGUGAUGAUUAUAUAUCAGUUUUUAUUUGUUUUCUAUUUUCAGAAAUGAUUUAUUUAUCUGACUUACCACGACUUGUACAUCAUCUACCCGUGGCCUCCUGUGUUCAGUCCUCAAAUGUUGCAUUGCUCUACAGAUCUGGUCUACAGAAUUCAUCCUUUUCCCUACCUAAAACUCCACCCACCCAAUUUUUGCCUAGUCAGGGGUUUAGGUUUCACUGCUGUUUUUUUUUUUUUAUAUUUAGUUUAUAUUUAACAAUCAUGAUAUUGCUACACUUGUGUAAACUGCUGUAGAGUGAUUUAUUUACUGUAAAACAUUUUGUCAAAGUAUAUUUGAAAUUUUCUCAAGUCUCCAUUUGGUUCUAAAUGUAUAAUUUUUUUCCAUUUUUAGGAUGCUAUUUUAGACGAUUUGUGUCAGUAUUAAAAAAAUAACAAACAAAAAAAAAAUAAAACAAACCCCAAUUAUUUAUUAAAGCAAUGUUCAUCAUACUUAAUUUUUGUUGUUGUUAAUCUUACUUUUGUAUAUUCAUGCUUUUAGUUUGUUUUGAUGUAAUAAUUAAAAUGUAAUUGUGAUCAUU
rnacentral:lncRNA from 1 species